rnacentral:rRNA from 1 species
GACGAACGCUGGCGGCGUGCUUAACACAUGCAAGUCGAGCGGUAAGGCCCUUUCGGGGGUACACGAGCGGCGAACGGGUGAGUAACACGUGGGUGACCUGCCCUCAGCUCUGGGAUAAGCCUGGGAAACCGGGUCUAAUACCGGAUAUGACUCCAUGACGCAUGUUGUGGGGUGGAAAGCCUUGUGCGGCUGAGGAUGGGCCCGCGGCCUAUCAGCUUGUUGGUGGGGUGAUGGCCCACCAAGGCGACGACGGGUAGCCGGCCUGAGAGGGCGACCGGCCACACUGGGACUGAGACACGGCCCAGACUCCUACGGGAGGCAGCAGUGGGGAAUCUUGCGCAAUGGGCGAAAGCCUGACGCAGCGAUGCCGCGUGAGGGAUGACGGCCUGG